rnacentral:rRNA from 1 species
AUACGUAGGGGGCGAGCGUUGUCCGGAAUGAUUGGGCGUAAAGGGCGCGUAGGCGGCCCGGUAAGUCUGGAGUGAAAGUCCUGUUUUUAAGAUGGGAAUUGCUUUGGAUACUGUCGGGCUUGAGUGCAGGAGAGGUAAGUGGAAUUCCCAGUGUAGCGGCGAAAUGCGUAGAGAUUGGGAGGAACACCAGUGGCGAAGGCGACUUACUGGACUGUAACUGACGCUGAGGCGCGAAAGUGUGGGGAGCAAACAGGAUUAGAUACCCUGGUAGUCCACACUGUAAACGAUGAAUGCUAGGUGUAAGAGGUAUCGACCCCUUUUGUGCCGGAGUCAACACAAUAAGCAUUCCGCCUGGGGAGUACGGCCGCAAGGUUGAAACUCAAAUGAAUUGACGGGG